CUAACAUUCGAACACCAAAUUGGACUCCAAUCAUACAAGUCAAAGACCAAAUGCUAAGCAAAUCCUACCAUUCGAAGACAUAGUUCACAGAGAAGAAAGUGUAACCCAUUCACUUAAAACCCAAUUUGAAGCAAACCUAGCCAUUUCGAAGGGAAUAAUGACGACGGAUUCUGGCAGGCAAAGCGAGAACAAUAACUUAGGUGAUGUAGAAAUAUGGUGAAGUAUGCUGAUAUGAGAGCGAUAGAAUGUGAUGCUUUGGAGGAUUUAGAAAUAAAUGUUAUGAACAUUAAGAACUUUAAUAUGUGUUAUGUUGUUAAAGACUACGUUGAGGAUUGUAAUUUUUUUUUUGUUUUGCUUUUAUUUAAGUUAGCCUUAGCACUUAGGUAUUGUGGUUGCCUAAGUGUGGCGGUAAUGCUCUCAAUAAGAUUUUGAAAAGCUUCCGCAUUC